AUGGGUGCUGGUGCAGAGUUACGUAAUGGGAGUCAAACACCCAUCACCACCACCAUCGCAACAUUUCUUCCCCAAUCUGAAUUCUCUACUACAAAGCCAACAAAACCCAUAAACCCCAUUUCCCAAAACCCCUCAAAGAUCCAAUCUUUCCCACCAUCCCAAAAACCAUGUUCCCACCAUCCCAAAAACCAUGUUCGAAACUACAUAUACCUCAAACUCCGCACUCUCUUCUCCUCACUCUCUUCCCAACUCACCCUUGUCAUCGAUGAGUUCGAUGGUCUUAACCACAACCACCUCUUCAAAGCUGCACAGCUUUAUCUUAAACCCACUCUCUCUCCCAACACUAAACGUUUCAGGGUCUCCAUGCCUGUCAAAGAGACCAAAAUCUCUGUCACCAUGGAAAGAAACGAAGAAAUAGUUGACACAUUCAAUGGUGCCCAACUGAAAUGGAAGUUGGUGUCGAAGCAAGUACAGUCAAAGUGGGUAACUGGACCUGACUCGGGUCCUUACAAUUCAGUUCUCAUGAACGAGGUUCGUUACAUGGAGUUAAGCUUCCACAAGAAACACAAAGACAUGGUGUUCCAAAACUACUUGCCCCAUGUGUUAGAAAAGUCUAAGGAAGUGAAAGAAGAGAGAAAGACAUUAAAGCUUUUCACUUUGGGUGGUGAUAGAAUGAGAGGGCAUAGAGUGGAGAGGUGGCAGUCUGUGAAUCUUGAUCAUCCUGCGACUUUUGAUACUUUGGCUACGGAUGUGAAUGUGAAGGAGAUGAUAAUGGAGGAUCUUGAGAGGUUUGUGAAGAGGAAAGAGUUUUACAGGAAAGUUGGGAAGGCUUGGAAACGUGGGUACUUGUUGUUUGGACCACCUGGUACUGGGAAAUCUAGUUUGAUUGCUGCUAUGGCGAAUUACCUUAAUUUUGAUAUCUAUGACUUGGAGUUGACUGAAGUUAGGCGUAAUUCUGACCUGAGGAACCUGUUGAUCUCGACAGCAAACCGGUCUAUACUUGUGGUGGAGGAUAUUGAUUGCUCUAUUGAAUUGCAGGAUAGGCUUGAGAAGGCCAGGGUUAUGAAUCCUUUUCCAUCUCAUUAUCAUCAACAACAGGGAACGCAGUUGAUUUUGUCAGGGUUGCUUAAUUUCAUAGAUGGCUUAUGGUCAAGUUGUGGGGAUGAGCGGAUAAUAAGUGUUCACAACCAAUCAUAAAGAUCGGCUGGACCCAGCUUUGUUGCGUCCUGGUCGUAUGGAUGUACACAUCCACAUGUCCUAUUGCACACUGUGUGGAUUCAAAAUGCUAGCAUCAAAUUACCAUGGAAUUACAGAGCACUCACUGUUCUCAGAUAUUGAGAUGUUAAUAGAGACAACAAAGGUAACUCCAGCAGAGGUAGCUGAGCAUUUACUGAAAAAUGAGGAACCUGAAAUUGCACUAAGAGGCUUAAUUGAGUUUCUUGAAGGGAAAAAGAGAGAGUGAUGAAACUAAAGCUAGUGAAGCAGAAGGUACAGAAGAGGUAGAGGGCAAAGGUGGAAAUGGGACAACGGAGGGUGAGAAAGGCAAACACAUGAUAAGGAUUCUGUGAUGUGUUGCAAUCGUAAUGAAGGUGCCAAAUAUUAAAAACAAAAAAGCUACAUAGAUAAUGAGAUAAUUUGGUAUGUGCUUCUAUGUAUGUGUGUGUUGAUAGAGCCAUAUAUACAUUUUAAAAUAUAUAUGAUUGAGUUCAAGUUACAUUAA